AAACAGGUGAGUUUAAUCCUUAAUCUGGUUUAAACAGGUGAGUUUAAUCCUUAAUCUGGUUUAAACAGGUGAGUUUAAUCCUUAAUCUGGUUUAAACAGGUGAGUUUAAUCCUUAAUCUGGUUUAAACAGGUGAGUUUAAUCCUUAAUCUGAUGUUAACAGGUGAGUUUAAUCCUUAAUCUGGUUCAAACAGGUGAGUUUAAUCCUUAAUCUGGUUUAAACAGGUGAGUUUAA